GAGGGCUGAGGGUGGUGCCCCGCUGCUGCCCGGGCUGCGGAGGGGAGAGCGCCUUGGCCGCUGGCCUGGCUCGUGGUUUCCCCUGGUGCUGGGGAGUGGAGGCGAGUUGUGCUUCCUGCUGGGAGAGAGAAGGGCCUUGGGAAGCUGCUCCAUGAGCCACAGCUGUGCCGAGCCCGGGAGUCUGUCCAGCAGGAUGUCGAGUGCUACCAUGUCCCUGAGGUUCCCCUUUCUGCUGUUGGGAGAGCACGAGGUGGAUGGAGAGGAUCCCCAGCCAUCUGCAGGCACAAGGGACUCGCACAACUGCGAUUUUUCUCCAGGUCUCUUAAGGUGGACUUUCAGGGUACCAUGGGAGAAAAUCUAGAAAGCGGGAAGGAAGAAAAGAAGCCCCCUGACUCCUCCUGAGCCCCAGACAGCCCAUGAACUGCCUUACUGGGAAUGGUAGGAUGGGGUGGACUCUGGAUUGCUCCCUCUGGAUGUGUGGAACUCCAGGAACUCCUGGUGCCGCCUGGGCCGAUGGAUUGGACGCCCCAGCCCCUCCGUUCCUGCCCAGCCACUGGGUCCGUGUCCAGUGGUGGCACUGCCAGCCCUGCAGUGGGAUGUAGCCUGGCAAGUGCACAGAGCUGAGCCAAGGGAUUGAAAGGGACCAACCAAGGGAGGUGAAGAAAGAAGGAAGAAAGGAAGUGAGGCAGCAGCCAAGCAGCAGCAAGUUGCUGUGUAA